rnacentral:rRNA from 1 species
UUCCGGUUGAUCCCGCCGGACCUGACUGCUAUCGGAUUGAUACUAAGCCAUGCGAGUCAUUGUAGCAAUACAAGGCAGACGGCUCAGUAACGCGUAGUCAACCUACCCUAUGGACGGGGAUAACCUCGGGAAACUGAGAAUAAUACCUGAUAGAACACUAUACCUGGAAUGGUUUGUGUUCCAAAUAAUUUAUUGCCGUAGGAUGGGACUGCGGCCUAUCAGUUUGUUGGUGAGGUAAUGGCCCACCAAGACUAUUACAGGUACGGGCUCUGAGAGGAGUGGCCCGGAGAUGGGUACUGAGACACGGACCCAGGCCCUAUGGGGCGCAGCAGGCGAGAAAACUUUGCAAUGUGCGAAAGCACGACAAGGUUAAUCCGAGUGGUUUCUGCUAAAGGAACCUUUUGACAGUCCUAGAAACACUGUUGAAUAAGGGGUGGGCAAGUUCUGGUGUCAGCCGCCGCGGUAAAACCAGCACCUCAAGUGGUCAGGAUGAUUAUUGGGCCUAAAGCAUCCGUAGCCGGCUCUGUAAGUUUUCGGUUAAAUCUGUACGCUCAACGUACAGGCUGCUGGGAAUACUGCAGGGCUAGGGAGUGGGAGAGAUAGACGGUACUCGGGAGGAAGUGGUAAAAUGCUUUGAUCUCUCGAUGACUACCUGUGGCGAAGGCGGUCUAUCAGAACACGUCCGACGGUGAGGGAUGAAAGCUGGGGGAGCAAACCGGAUUAGAUACCCGGGUAGUCCCAGCUGUAAACUAUGCAAACUCAAUGAUGCAUUGACUUAUGGUCAAUGCAGUGUUGCAGGGAAGCCGUUAAGUUUGCCGCCUGGGAAGUACGUACGCAAGUAUGAAACUUAAGGAAUUGGCGGGGGAGCACCACAAGGGGUGAAGCCUGCGGUUCAAUUGGAGUCAACGCCGGAAAUCACUAGUGCGGGCCGCCUGCAAGUCGACCAUAUGGGAGAGCUCCCAACGCGUUGGAUGCAUCGCUUGAGUAUUCUAUAGUGUCACCUAAAUAGCUUGGCGUAUCAUGGUCAUAGCUGUUCCUGUGUGAAAUGUNUCCGCUCACAUUUCCACACAACAUACGAGCCCGGAGCAUAAGUGUAAGGCCUGGGGGGUGCCUAAUGGAGUGUGA